CCUACGGGAGGCUGCAGUGGGGAAUAUUGGACAAUGGGCGAAAGCCUGAUCCAGCCAUGCCGCGUGUGUGAAGAAGGCCUUCGGGUUGUAAAGCACUUUCGGUGGGGAAGAAAGCCUUGGGGCUAAUACCCUCGAGGAAGGACAUCACCCACAGAAGAAGCACCGGCUAACUCCGUGCCAGCAGCCGCGGUAAUACGGAGGGUGCGAGCGUUAAUCGGAAUUACUGGGCGUAAAGCGCGCGUAGGCGGUCUUGUAAGCCGGUUGUGAAAGCCCCGGGCUCAACCUGGGAACGGCAUCCGGAACUGGCAGGCUAGAGUGCAGGAGAGGAAGGUAGAAUUCCCGGUGUAGCGGUGAAAUGCGUAGAGAUCGGGAGGAAUACCAGUGGCGAAGGCGGCCUUCUGGACUGACACUGACGCUGAGGUGCGAAAGCGUGGGUAGCAAACAGGAUUAGAUACCCUGGUAGUC
rnacentral:rRNA from 1 species